ACUGGACCAGGAGGUGUUUUGGAUCAUCCCUGAGGUGUGAGCACUGGACCAGGAGGUCACCUGGAUCAUCCCUGAGUUGUGAGCACUGCACCAAGAGGUGUCUUAGAUCAUGCCUCAGUGUGAGCACUGCACCAGGUGGUUUUUUGGAUCAUCCCUAGGUGUGAGCACUGCACCAGGAAGUAUUGCUGAUCAUGUCUGAGUUAUGAUCACUGCACCAGGAGGUGUCUUAAAUAAUAUCUGAGUUGGGAGCACUGCACCAGAUGGUGUCUUGGAUCAUCGCUGUGGUGUGAGAACUGCGCAAGGAGGUGUUUUCCAUCAUCCCUGAGGUGGGAGCACUGCACCAGGAGAUGUCUUGGAUCACCCCUGGGGAGACAGCACUACUCCAGGAGGUGUCUUGGGUCAUCUUUUAGGUGUGAGCAUAGCACAAAGAGGUGUCUUGGAUCAUCCCUGCAGGUUGAGCACUGUACCAGCAGGUAUCUUGGAUCAUCUCAGAGAUGUGAGCAUUGCACCAGGAGGUGUCAUGGAUCAUCCCUGAGGUAGGAUCACUGCACUAGGAAGUGUCUUGAAUCAUCCUUGAGGUGUUAGCACAGUAACAGGAAGUGUCUUGGAUCCUCCCUGAGAUGUGAGCACCACACCAGGAGGUGUCUUCAACCAUCAGAAGAAAGAGCACUACACCAAGAGAUGUCUUGGAUCACGUCUGAGGUGUGAUCACUGUAACAAGAGGUGCCUUGAAUCAUCCCUGAGGUGUGUGCACUGUACCAAGACGUGUCUUGGUUCAUCCAGGAGGUGUGAGCACUUCACCAGGAUCAUCAUACCUGACCUGUGAACAUUUCAACCAGAAGUGUCUUAUAUCAUGCCUGAGGUGUGAUUCACGCACCAGGAGGUGUUUUGUACCAUCCCUGAGGUGCAGGCACUGCACCAGUAGGUCUCUUGCAUUAUGCCUGAGGUUUGAGCACUGCACCAGGAAGUGUCUUUUAACAUCCCAGAGGUGUGAGCACUGCACAAGGAGGUGUCUUAAGUAAUCUCUGAGGUGUGAGCACUGCACAAGGAGGUGUCUUAAGUAAUCUCUGAGGUGGGAGCACUGCACAGGGAGGUGUCUUCAUUCAUCCCCUAGAAGGGACUACUGCACCAGGAGGUUUUUUGGAUAAUCCUGAGGAGGGAGCAGUGCACCAGGAGGUAUCUUGGAUGAUAACUGAGUUGUAACCACUGCAACAAGAAGUGUCUUAAAUAAUCUCUGAGGUGGAAACACUACACCAGGAGGUGUCUUGGAUCAUCCCUGAGGUGCAGACACCGCACCAGGAGGUCUGUAGGAUUAUCCCUGAGGUUUGAGCACUGCAUCAGAAAGUGUCUUUUAUCAUCCCUGAGUUGGGAGCACUGCACCAGGAGGUGUCUUGGAUCAUCACUUAGGUGGGAGCACUGCACCUGCAAGUGCCUUGGAUCAUGCCUGACGUGUGAGCACUGCACCAGCAGGUGUCUUGGCUCAUCCCUGAGGAGGGAGUACUGCACGAGGAGGUGUCUUGCGUCACACCUGAGGUGUGAACACUGUACCAGGAGGUGUCUAGGAUCAUCCCUGAAUUGUGAGAAGUGCACCAGGGGGUGUCAUGGAGCAUCCCUGAGGUGAGAGCACUGCACCAGGAAGUGUCUUGCAUGUUACAUCAUCCCUGAGGUAGGAGCACUACACCAGCAGGUGUCUUGGAUCUUUCCAGAGGUGGGAGCACUUCACCAGGAGGUAUCUUGAAUCAACCCUAAGGUAAGAGCACUGCACCAAAGGGGUCUUGGAUCAUCCCUGGAGUGGGGGGAGCACUACUGCAGGAGGUGUCUUUGGUCAUCCUUGAGGUGUGAGCACUGCACCAAAAGGUGUCUUGUAUUAUGCCUGAUUGUAUUAUGCCUGAGUGUAAGCACUGCACUUGGAGGUGUCUUGGAUCAUUCCUGAAGUAGAAUCACUGUCUCAGGGAGUGUCUUGAAUCAUCCCUGAGGUGUGAGGAUUGUAAGAGGAGAUGUCUUGAAUCAUCAGAGGAAAGAGCACUACACCAAGUGGUGUCUUGGAUCAUCCCUGAGGUGUGAACUUUGCACCUGGAAGUGUCUUAACAUGCCUGAGGUGUGACCCAUGUACCAGGAGGUCUCUUGUAUCAUCCCUGAGAUGGGAUCACUACACCAUGAGGUGUCUUGGAUCAAAUCUGAGGUGCAGGCGCUGCACAAGGAGGUCUCCUGAAUCAUCCCCAAGGUGGCAGCACUGCACCAGAAGGUGUAUUGGAUCAUCCCUCAGGUGUGAACACUGCACCAGGAAGUGUCUAAAAUCAUGCCUGAGGUGUCAGCACUGCACCAGGAGGUGUUUUUGAUCAUCCCUAAGGUGCAGGCACCGCACCAGGAGGUCUCUUGGAUUAUGCCUGAGGUUUCAGCACUGCACCAGGAAGUGUCUUUUAUCAUCCCUGAUGUGUGAGCACUGCACCAGGAGGUGUCUUGCAUCAUCCCUGAGGUGUGUGCACUGCACUAGGAGUUGUUUUGCAUUAUUCCUGAGGUCAGCGCACUGCAUCACAAGUGUCUUGGAUCCUGCCUGAUGGUGCCUGACCAGCAAGUGUCUUAACGCAUCCCUGAGGAGGGAGUACUGUAACAGGUGUCUUGGAUCAUCCCUUGGAGUUGAGCACUACACCACCAGGUGCUUUGAAUCAUCUCUGAGGUGUGAGCAGUGCAUCAGGAAGUGUCUUGUAUUACGACUGAGUGUGAAUACUUCACCAGGUGGUUUUUUGGAUAAUUCCUAGGUGUGACCGCUGCACCAGGAGGUAUCUCGGAUCAUGCCAGAGUUGUGACCACUCCACCAGGAUAUGUUUUGGAACAUAGCUGAGGUGUGAGCACUGCACCAGGAGGUGUCUUAGAUGAUGCCUGAAUGUGAGCACCUCACCAGGAUGUACCUUGGAUCAUGCCUGAGUUUUGUGGGCACUGUAUCAGGAUGUGUUUUGGAUAACCCCUGAGGUGUGAGCACUGCACCAGGAGGCAUCUUGUAUCAUCUCUGAGUUGUGAGCACUGCACCACGUGGUCUUUCUGGAUCAUCCCUAGAUGUGAGCGCUGCACCAGGAAGUAUCUUGGAUCCUGUCUGAGUUGUGACCACUGCACCAGGAGGUGUCUUAUAUCAUAUCUGAGUUUUGAGCACUGCACCAAGAGGUGUUUUGGAGCAUCCCUGAGGUGUGAGCACUGCACCAGGAGGUGUCUUGGAUCAUCCCUGUAGUGUGAGAACUGCACACUACAGGAUGUUUUCAAUCAUCCUUGAGUUGGGAGCACUAUACUAGGAAGUGUGUUGGAUCAUACCUGGGGUGUAAGCACUGCACCAGGAGGUCUCUUAGAUGAUGCCUGAAUGUGAGCACCUCACCAGGAUGUACUUUGGAUCAUGCAUGAGUUGUGUGUGCACUGCAUCAGGACGUGUUUUGGAUCACCCUUGAGGUGUGAGCACUGCACCAGGAAUUGUCUUGGAUCAUCCCUGAGGGUGAGCACUGCACCAGGGGGUGUUUGGGGUUCUCCAUAACGUGUGAGCACUGCACCAGGAGGUGUCUUGGAUCAUCCUUGAGGUGUGAGUACUACACAAGGAGUUGUCUUGGAUCAUCCCUGAGGUGUGAGCACUGCACCAGCAAGUGUUUUGUAUUAUGCCUGAGUGUGAACACUGCACCAGGUGGUUUUUUAGAUGAUUCCUAGGUGUGACCACUGCACCAGGAGAUAUCUCGAAUCAUGCCAGAGUUGUGAGCACUGCAUCGGGAGAUGUUUUGGAUCAUCUCUGAGGUGUGAUCACUGUACCAGGGGGUGUCUUGAAUCAUCCCUGGGAGUGAACACUGUGACAGGAGGUGUCUUGAAUCAUCCCUGAGGUAAGAGCACUGCACCAGGAGGUCUUUGGAUCAUCAUACCUGAGGUGUGAACAUUUCACCCAGAAGUGUCUUAUAUCAUGUCUGAGGUGUGACCCAUGCACCAGGAGGUGUUUUGUAUCAUACCUGAGUCGUGACCACUGUACCAGAGGGUGUUUUGGAACAUCCCUGAGGUGUGAGCACUGCACCAGGUCGUGUCUUGGAUCAUCUCUGUAGUGUGAUAAUUACACAAAGAGGUGUUUUUAAUCAUCCCUGGGGUGAGAGAACUACACCAGGAAUUGUGUUGGAUCAUGCCUGAGUGUGAGCACUGCACCAGGAGGUAUUUUGAAUCAUGCCUGAGUUGUGAGCACUGCACCAGGGGGUGUCUUGGAUCAUCCCUGAGGUGUGAGCACUGCACCAGGAGAUGUCUUGGAUCAUCCCUGAGGUGUGAGCACUGCACAAAGGAGCGUCUUGUAUUAUGCCUGAGUGCGAACGCUGCACCAGGUGUCUUUUUGGAUCAUUCCUAGGUGUGACCACUGCACCAGGAGGUAUCUCAAAUCAUGCCAGAGAUGUGAGCACUGCAUCAGAAGAUGUUUUGGAUCAUCCCUAAGGUGUGAGCACAGGACCAGGAGGUCUCUUGGAUCAUCCCUGAGUUGAGAGCACUGUUCCAAGAGGUGUCUUGGAUUGUGCCUGAGUGUGAGCACUGCAUCACCUGGUUUUUUGGAUCCCUAGGUGUGAGCACUGCACCAGGAGGUAUCUUGGAUCAUGUCUGAGUUGUGAUCACUGCACCAGGAGGAGUCUUAAAUCAUAUCUGAGUUGGGAGCACUGCACCAAGAGGUGUUUUGGAGCAUCCCUGAGGUGUGAGCACUGCACAAGGUGGUGUCUUGGAUCAUGCCUGAGUUGUGACCACUCCACCAGGGGGUGUUUUGGAACAUCCCUGAGGUGUGAGCACUGCACCAAGUGGUGUCUUGGAUCAUCCCUGUAGUGUGAAAACUGCACAAGGAGGUAUUUUCCAUCAUCUCUAACGUGGGAGCACUACACCAAGAAGUGUGUUGGAUAAUGCUUGAGAUGUGAGCACUGCACUAGGAAGUCUCUUAGAUGAUGCCUGAGUGUGAGCACCUCACCAGGAUGUACCUUGAAUGAUGCCUGAGUUGUGUGGGCACUGCAACAGGACGUGUUUUGGAUCACCCUUGAGGUGUGAGCACUGCACCAGGAAUUGUCUUGGAUCAUCCCUGAGUGUUAGCACUACACCAGGAGGUGUUUGGGGUCAUCCAUAAGGUCUCAGCACCGCACCAGGAGGUUUCUUGUAUUAUGCCUGAGUGUGAGCACUGCAGCAGGAGGUAUUUUGAAUCAUGCCUGAGUUGUGAGCACUGCAUCAGGAGGUAUUUUGAAUCAUCCCUGAGGUGUGAGCACUGCACCAGGAGGUGUCUUGGAUCAUCCCUGAGGUGUGAACAUUGCACCCAGAAGUGUCUUAUGUCAUGCCUGCAGUGUGAGCACUGCACCAGGAUAUGUCUAGGAUCAUCCCUGAAUUGUGAGCACUGAACCAGGAGGUGUCUUGAUUCAUCCCUGAGGUGUGAGCACUGAACCAGGAGGUAUCUUGGAUCAUCCCUGAUAUGUGAACACCUCACCAGGAAGUGUCUUGGAUCAUGUCUGAGUUGUUAGCACUGCACCAGGAGGUGUCUUAAAUCAUCUCUGAGGUUUGAGCACUACACCAGGAGGUGUCUUGAAUCAUGCCUAAGCGUGACCACUGCACCAGGAGGCAUCUUGGAUCAUGUCUCAGUUGCAACAGGAAGUGUCUUGGAUCAUCCCUGUGGUAUAAGCACUGCACCAGGAGUUGUCUUGGAUCAUCCCUGGGAUGCAGCCAGUGCACCAGAAGGUGUCUUGGAUCAUCCCUGAUGUGGGAGCACUGCAUCAGGAGAUCUGUUGGAUCAUCGCUGAGGUGUGAGCACUGCACCAGGAGGUAUCUGGAAUGAUUUUUGAGGACAGUGUAGUGCACCAGGAGGUGUCCUGGAUCUCCCGAGGUGGGAGUACUUGCACCAGGAGGUGUCUUGGAUCUACCCUGAGGUGUGAGCGCUGCAACAGGAAGUGUCUUGGAUCAUCCCUGAGGUGUGAGCACUGCAAAAGGAUGUGUCCUCAAUCAUCCAUGAGGGAGGAUCACUGCACCAGGAAGUGUCUUGUAUCAUUGCUGAGGUGGAAGCACUGCACAAGGAGGUGUCUUAGAUCAACCCUGACUUGUGAGCACUGCACCAGAAGGUGUCUUGGAUCAUUGCUAAGAGGCAAGCACUGCACCAGCAGAUGUCUCAGAUCAUCCUUUAGGUGGGAGCGCUACACAAGGGGUGUCUUGGAUCAUCCCUGAGGAGGGAGCACUACACCAGGAGGUGUCUUGGAUCAUUUCUGAGGUGCAGGCACUGCAUCAUGAGGUGUCUUGGAUCAUCGCUGAAGUGUAAGCACUGCACCAGGAGGUGUUGUGAAUCAUCGCUGAGGUGUGAGCACUGCACCAGGAGGUGUCUUGGAUUAUCCUUGAGGUGUGAACAUUGCACCAGGAGAUGUCUCAGAUCAUCCCUGAGGUGCAGGCACUGUACCAGGAGGUAUCUUGAAUCAUUUCUGAGGUGCAGGUGCUGCACCAGGAGGUGUCUUGAAUCAGCCCUGAGGUGUGAGCACUACACCAGGAGGUGUCUUGAUUCAUCCCUGAGGUGAGCACUGCACCAAAGGUGUCUUGAUUCACCCCUGAGGUGUGAGCACUGCACCAGGAGCUGUCUUAAAUCACUUCUGAAGUGUGAGCACUGCACCAGGAGGUGUCCUGUAUCAUCCCUGUGGAGGGAGUACUGCACCAGAAGGUGUAUUGGAUCAUCCCUGAAGUGUGAACAUUGCAUCAAAAGACAUCACAAAUCAUCCCUAAGGCUUGAGCACUGCACCAGGAGGUGUCUUUGAUCAUGCCUGAGAUGUGAGCACUGCACUAGGAGGUGUUUUGGAUCAUCCCUAGGUAGGAGCACCACACCAGGAGGAGUCUUGGAUCAUCUUUGAGGUGGGAGUACCACACCACGAGGUGUCUUGGAUCAUCCCUGAGGUGGAAGCACUGCACCAGGAGUUGUCUUGGAUCAUUCCUGAGGUGUGAGUACUGCACCAGGAGGUAUCUUGUAUCAUCCCUGAGGUCAGAGUACUACACCAGGAGAUGUUUGGAUCAAAUCUGACGUGUAGGCACUGCACCAGAAGGUCUCUUGGAUGAUGCCUGAAUUGUCAGCACUGCACCAGGAAGUGUAUUUUAUCAUCCUUGAGGUCAGAACACUGCAUCAGCAAGUGCCUUGGAUUGUGCCUGAGGUGUGAGCACUGCACAAGCAGUUGUCUUGGCUCAUCCCUAAGAAGGGAGUACUGCACCAGGGGAUGUCUUGGAUUAUGCCUGAGUUGUGAGCACUAUAUCAGGAGUUGUUUUGGAUCAGCCCUGAAUUGUGAGCACUGCACCAAGAGGUGUCCUGGAUCAUCCCUGAGGUGGGGGCACUGCACCAGGAGGUGUCUUUGAUCAUCCCUGAGGUGGGAGCACUGCACCAGGAGAUGUCUUGGAUCAUCCCUGAGGUAGGAUCACUACACUAGGAGGUUUCUUGGAUCAUUGCUGAAGUGUGAGCACUGCACCACGAGGUGUCUUGGAUCAUCCCUGAGGUAGGACCACUACACUAGGAGAUAUCUUGGGUCAUUCCUGAGGUGUGAGCACUGCACCAGGAGGUCUCUUGGAUCAUCCCUGAGGUAUGAGCACUGUACCAGGAGGUGUCUUGGAUCAUCCCUGAGGUGCAGUGAUAUGGUUUGGUCAUGUCCCCACUCAAAUCUCAUCUUGAAUUGUAGCUCCCAUAAUCCCCACAUGUCAUAGAAGGGACCCUGUGGGAGGUAACUGAAUCAUGGAGAGAGUUACCUCCAUGCUGUUUUCAUGAUAGUGAGUUAGUUUUCAGAUCUGAUGGUUUUAUAAGGAGCUUUUCCCCCAUUUACUUGGCACUUCUCCUUCCUGCCAUCCUGUAAAGAAGGAUGUGUUUACUUCCUUCCAUUUUGAUUGUAAAUUGUGUGAGGCCUCCUCAGCCCCACAGAACUAUGAGUCAUUUAAACCUUCUUUCUUUAUAAAUUACCAAGUCUUGGGUAGUUCUUUAUAGCAGUGUGAGAUCAGACUAAUAAACACCCCCAUGAUUCAAUUACCUCCCACCAGAUCCCUCCCAUGACACAUGGGGAUUAUGAGAACUACAAUUCAAGAUGAGAUUUGGGUGGGACACAGCCAAACCAUGUUAUUCCAUUCACGGUCGCUUUAAAAUAUGUCCUCACAUUUCAAAACACAAUUAUGUAUUUCCAACAGUCCCCUAAAGUCUUAAUUCAUUCCAUCAUUAUCCCCAAAGUCCAAAUCUAAAGUCUCAUCUGAGACAAGGCAAAUUCCUUCUGUCAAUGAGCCUGUAAAAUCAAAAGUGAGUUAAUUACUUCCAAGAUACAAUGGAGAUACAGGCAGUGGACAAAUACACCCAUUCCAAAUGAGAGAAAUUGGCCAAAACAAAGAGGCUGCAGGCCCCAGCCAAGUCCAAAAUCCAACAGGGCAGUAACCAAAACUUAAAGUUCCAAAAUAAUCUCCUUUGACUCCAUGUCUCACAUCCAGGUCACGCUGAUGCAAGAGGUGGGCUCCCAUGGCCUUGGACUGCUUCACCCCUGUGGCUUUGCUUUCACAAGAUGGCAUUGAGUGUCUGAGGCAUUUCCAGGUGCACGGUGCAAGCUGUCAGCGGAUCUACCAUUCUGGGGCCUGAAGGACGGUGGCCCUCCUCACACAGUUCAACUGGGCAGCACCCCCGUGGGGACGCCCUGUGGGGGCUCCAACCCCACAUCUCCCUUCUUCAAUGCCCUAGCAGAGGUUCUCCAUGAGGGCUUUGCCCCUACAGCAGGCUUCUGCCUGGAUAUCCAGGCAUUUCCAUACAUCCUCUGAAAUCUAAGCUGAGGUUCCCAAACCUCAAUUCUUGACUCCUGUACAUCCACAGGUCCAAGACCACGUGUAAGCCACCAAGGCUUGGGGCUUGCACCCUCUGAAGCAACAGCCUGAGCUCUAUGUUGGCCCCUUUAGCCACAGCUGGAACUCACUAUCACCAAAUCCCUAUACUACACAAAGCAGCAAGGCCCUAGGCCUAGCCCAUGAAACUCUUUUUUCCUCCUAGGCCUCUGGGCCUGUGAUGAGAGGGGCUGCUGUGAAGAACUCUCAUAUGCCCUGGAGACAGUUUCCCCGUUGUCUUGGUGAUUAACAUUUGGCUUUUCAUUACUGAUGAAAAUUUCUCCAGCUGGCUUGAAUUUCUUCUCCGAAAAUGGGUUUUUCUUUUCUAUCACAUCAUCAGGCUGCAAAUUUUCCUAACUUUUAUGUUCUGGUUCCCUUUUAAACAUAAGUUUUAAUUCCAAACCAUAUCUUUGUGAAUACAUAAAACUGGAUGCUUUUAACAGCACCCAAGUCAAAUCUCGAAUGCUUUGCUGCUCAGAAAUUUCUUCUGCCAGAUACCCUAAAUCAUGUCUCUCAAGUUCAAAAUUCCACAGAUCUUUAGGGCAAGGGCAAAAUACUGCCAGUCUCUUUGCUAAAAUGUAGCAAGAGUCUCCUUUAUUCCAGUUCGCAAAAAGUUCCUCAUCUCCAUCUGAGACCACCUCAGCCUGGACUUCGUUGUCUACAUCACUAUCAGCAUUUUGGUCAAAACCAUUAAACAAGUCUCUAGGAAGUUCCAAUUUUCCUGGAAGACAUCUUCCUGUCUUCUUCUGAGCCCUCCAAACUGUUCCAACCUCUGCCUGUUACCCAGUUCCAAAGUCACUUCCACAUUUUUUGGUAUCUUUAUAGCAGUGCCCCACUACUCAGUAUCAAUUUACUGUUUUAAUCCAUUCUCAUGCUGCUAUGAAGAACUGCCUGAGACCGGGUAAUUUAUAAAGGAAAGGUUUAAAUUACUCACAGUUCUGCCGGGCUGGGGAGGCCUCAGGAAACUUACGAUCAUGGCAGAAAGCAAAGGGGAAGCAGGCACGUCUUCAUGUGUCUGGAGAAGGAGGAAGAGAGCAAACAGGGAGGUGCCACACACUUUCAAACAACCAGGUCUCCUGAGAACACAUUCACCAUCACAAGAAUGCAAGGGGGAAAUCCGCCCCCAGGAUCCAAUCACCUCCAACCAGUCCACUUCCCCAACACUGGAAAUUAUAAUUUGACAUGAGAUUUGGUUGGGGACACAGAGCCAAACUAUAUCAGCGCUUAACCUCAUUUGAGUUGUCACACGCAACCAGGAGGCUUGAAUAACCCACUGCUUCCAGACUAGAUGGCUUUCCGUGUGACCCCAAGAGAGACUCCCAGCCUCUGCUGAUUCCUAUGUAAAGUGUGGGUUGGAACUGGAUGGUAUCAUAGGCUCCUUUAGCUCUGUAUGAUUCUCAUGUAAAAUUCCACCCAGCAGUCAGGCAAGAGGUGCACUGGGGAGAGGAGGUGGAACCCGCAGGUUAUUGAUAAAAUCCUGAAAUCCCUUGGCUCUGUGCUUUAAACAGGCACCUUCCCAACAUCUAUGACUGUCUUUGAACUGCUCAUAAAGAGCACUGAUUAAUGUGACACUUCACAUGCCCACCAUGAAAUUAGGAAGGCCCUUAGAUCUCCUUCAAACCCGCGGUGCCGGUGCCUUCGCCCCAUCAAUCAGAGAUGAAACUGUGAUUGCGUUGCAAGGAGACGAGGCCAUCCUGGAAUUCUGCCAUGAAAGAAUCGCUGGGACUCAAAGGAGGGGAAAACAAGGGAAGGGGAGAGGGGGAGAGGGAAAGAGAAGCUGCUUCCAGAAGGAAUAAAUUUGUGCGUGUACUUUGA